CCUACGGGAGGCAGCAGUAGGGAAUAUUGGGCAAUGGAGGCAACUCUGACCCAGCCAUGCCGCGUGCAGGAUGAAGGCGUUAUGCGUUGUAAACUGCUUUUAUAUAGGAAGAAAGAGUUCUUGCGAGAACAGUUGACGGUACUAUAUGAAUAAGCACCGGCUAACUCCGUGCCAGCAGCCGCGGUAAUACGGAGGGUGCAAGCGUUGUCCGGAUUUAUUGGGUUUAAAGGGUGCGUAGGCGGUUUAUUAAGUCAGUGGUGAAAGACGGUCGCUCAACGAUUGCAGUGCCAUUGAUACUGGUAGACUUGAGUGAGAUUGAGGUAGCUGGAAUGGAUAGUGUAGCGGUGAAAUGCAUAGAUAUUAUCCAGAACACCAAUUGCGUAGGCAAGUUACUAAGUCUUAACUGACGCUGAGGCACGAAAGUGUGGGUAUCAAACAGGAUUAGAUACCCUGGUAGUCCACACUGUAAACGAUGAUAACUAACUGUUGGCUUUCGGGUCAGUGGUACAGAGAAAUCGUUAAGUUAUCCACCUGGGGAGUACGCCGGNAACGGUUGAAACUCAAANAGAGUAGAGGCGNGAGAGNGCGACGGACGACGACGAGGAGGAGG
rnacentral:rRNA from 1 species